GUCAAGUCAAGUUGGCAACGUUGCUUUUAGUGUCAAUAAUAAAUACAAACUAAAAUUGCUUCCGUGGCGGCUCCAGAAAAACAAUAUAAUUGGACUUCGCAAACUUCUUUCCAACCUGUGGUGCGGCCUCAACAUUCCAAUUUUAUCAUGAAGGUAGAUGAAAGUGAAGCCUAUCAGAGCAUCAAAACUUCAAUUGAAGCCCACCGAACAGAUGUUUUGAAAGCAGUAAUCGACACAGUAAAAAAAGAAUGGGAGGAGAAAGAUUUCUUUAAAUUUUUAAACAACUCAAGAGAAGAAGGGUCAUUUCUGCAUUUGGUUACCAAGAACAAUCAAGCAGAUAUGGUUAGACUUUUACUGAGUUAUGGAGCAGAUCCUACAGUUGUCAAUGGAAAGGGAGAAAAUGCUUUAGCUGUCACCUCCAACAAGCACACAAAGUCUGCGUACAAAGAUGCAUUGUUUGCAUCUAUUGCCAGCCAUGAUAUGCGAAUGACAGAAAAGCUAUACAUGGCAGCUACAGAAACAGAUAUAAGGGACAAUUUGGAAAAACUUAACACUCCGUUACAUUGGGCAGUUUCAUUUCUUAAUAAAGAAGCAAUACACUUUCUAACAGAACAAGGAGCUAUACUGGACAGUAUAAAUGCAAAAGGAAUGACUCCAUUGCACGAAGCUGUUCAAGCAGGGAACUAUGAUAUUGUUAAUCUACUCAUAAAAAUGGGCGCAGAUGUUAACUGUCUUGUUCAAGGGAAUAGCAAUUUGAAAGGCAUGUCAGCCAUAGAUUUGGCCAUUCCUGGUUCAGAGAUGAUGAACCUUCUUAUGCGUUACCGUAAUGCUAACGACGGGUUAGGCCCACCUAGAGAACUAGUAGAGAUGAAUGGCAAUGUCAACGGUAAUGCUCAACACAGAGAUGGUCGAAUGGGGCCUGCUUCACCCGACGGAGCUGAAAGUGCACUUAGUGUCGAGGAGAUCACGACUUCUUUGCCAUUUAUACGUGCACCGAUACGUCCAGUAAUCACAGACGCCCGUUUACAUUGGCUAUGGCCUCCACCGAAGCAAAUUCAACAACUGGAAGGACUACCGUUCUUAAUUCAUCAGCCAUGGAGCAUAUCAUUCGUCUCUUGCUCUAUUCCAUUACAUGACAUACUGGAUAUCUGGGAUGCGCACAAGGCCCCGCUUUCUUUGCUAGGAAUAAAUCCUAUUAUCGGCAACGUGAAGCCCAAUAACACAACCACGACGGAUGACAACGACAGCAGAUUAACCUGCUGUAUCAAAGCGCAACUCUUUCCUGGCCCUGAAAGUUACCGAUUAACUAUAUCAUCUUCUAAAAUAGCCAUAAUCGCCGCCGAUCGGCAAGGACUACAUUAUGCCUUGAGUAGUCUCGAGCAGCUUAUAGUAUUAUGUCUUGACGAUGGUCAUUUACCACCACUGCACAUCGAGGAUAGUCCUUCCCUACGAAUGCGUGCCGUUGUGCUUGACGUGAGUUCUGCUGGUCGUGUCCCACUUCUCGAUUCUCUGUUUUCCAUGAUUGAUAUCUGGCGCUCCUUGAAACUCAAUCAAGUUCACCUCUACAGCCGAGUUAAUAGCUCAGCAGGGUUUCAAUGGCCAUGGCCCUAUAGUAAAAUUGAGGUGAUAAGUCUGGAUCGCUAUUGCAUGGACCGAGGGAUGGAACUUGUACCGGCGCUUGAUGUAGAUGGUGAUUUUAAAGAACAACACUUACUACAAGAUUUGGUGACCACAUCUCAGUGGUGUUUCCCAUCCACCAAACUUUUUCACGCCGGCCCCGGCUUGACAACUCUACUUGCUGAAGCCAAUUAUGAACUAUUGAAUGGAAAUGCGUCAGAUAGAACAUGGCUUUUGUGUGCCAAUAGCUUGAGGGAGAAGAAAAUACUGCCAAACUUGAACUUCGGGCAUAUUCUGGUUGAGUAUGGAUUUCAGGCAGACUACAAUUUCCACGAAAAAACUCAAUCGGCGUGGGAAAGUUCGGCUGCUUUGUGCUUCUGCGCUGGAACUGCCUCUUGGGACAGUUUAAUAGGAUACCCCGAAGCUGCCUCAGCCAACAUUCUUCAUGCUGUGCAAGCUGCUGUGGAAAGAGGAUCGUUAGGAUCAUUUGUAGCUACAUGGACUGAUUCGGUGGCUUUAGGAUCGCUACAUUUUGCCUGGCCGGGAUGGAUUUUGCAGGCUGGAUUAGCCUGGAAUCAUUCCGUUCAUUGGGAUUUUAUUCAAAAUUCACUGGGUGAGCUCGUUUCGCUUUGGGUGUUGAACGAAUCAUUCGACAAGCGUUCUUCAGUGGGUGUAGCCAUCGUUGAGAUGGGCCGGCUGGAAACUUGGCUUCUUCGUCACGCUCGCGGAGAGCUUGACCUUCAUAAUGCAUUCGAUGCUACUACGAUUCCACCCUCUCUGCCCCCAAGCGAAGGGUCUAUUCAUUACCGCUUAAUUUUAGAUCCCGAUAGUGUUAACGUAGACAACCUCAAUAUGGAAUGUGUCGUGCGAACCAUCCGGCAUUCGAAAAAAUGGCAUAAACUAUUAACUGAAGCAACCAUGACAGAAAGCCGUAAUUAUUUCAUGAAAACAGUUGCGCUUCAAGCUCUCCUAUCUGCAGAUUUCCUCCUCCUGGCCUGUCGCAUUUUGAGGGGAAUUCUUACAACUGGGAGCAAUCCAAAUAGCAAUAUGGGAGUAGCCGCAAUCAACCUAGGUGUAGUGAACUUAACGCCAACUUUACGAACAGACGCUGCCAACAGACUGCUCAGCCUAACCGAGCGUUUCCAGCAGUUGUGGAUGCAACAAUAUCAAAAUCCCUCGAAUGGACUGAAUAAUAUAAUAGGAGCCCUGAAUGCAUCGAUUCAACGGCUUUUGGCUAAUGUCGACACAUCCGAUUUGUAGGCGUCGAUUGGUUUGAGUCGUUUUGUUGAUUUGGCUUUUGCGUAGAAAGUCGAUGGGUCAGCGAUGAUGCGCUGUCAAUUCGGAUACAAUUUGUAAGCAACAACACAAAAGAAGGCAAAAAGGUUUAAACAUUCCUUCAACCUGUUUUCGGCACAUUCUGUCCUGGGAUUUGUUUCGAGCGGAACAGUAUUAUAUUGUCAAACAUUAAUCUUGCUUUUUAUGCAUGAGAUAUCUUUUUAGCAAUCCAUGUUAUUUGUUACAAACAUAGCCAGCAGAAAAAUAUUAUGGACACGGUUAACUUAA
rnacentral:misc_RNA from 1 species